UAGGUGGUUUGUUACGUCGGUUGUGAAAUUCAGGGGCUCAACCCUGACUUGCAGCCGAUACGGGCAAGCUAGAGUUUGGUAGGGGAGACUGGAAUUCCUGGUGUAGCGGUGGAAUGCGCAGACAUCAGGAGGAACACCGAUGGCGAAGGCAGGUCUCUGGGCCAAUACUGACACUGAGGAGCGAAAGCGUGGGGAGCGAACAGGAUUAGAUACCCUGGUAGUCCACGCCGUAAACGGUGGGCGCUAGUUGUGCGAACCUUCCACGGUUUGUGCGACGCAGCUAACGCAUUAAGCGCCCCGCCUGGGGAGUACGAUCGCAAGAUUAAAACUCAAAGGAAUUGACGGGGCCCCGCACAAGCAGCGGAGCAUGCGGCUUAAUUCGACGCAACGCGAAGAACCUUACCAAGGCUUGACAUAUACAGGAAUAUGGCAGAAAUGUCAUAGCCGCAAGGUCUGUAUACAGGUGGUGCAUGGUUGUCGUCAGCUCGUGUCGUGAGAUGUUGGGUUAAGUCCCGCAACGAGCGCAACCCUCGUUCUGUGUUGCCAGCAUUUAGUUGGGGACUCACAGGAGACUGCCGGGGUUAACUCGGAGGAAGGUGGGGAUGACGUCAAAUCAUCAUGCCCCUUAUGUCUUGGGCUGCACGCAUGCUACAAUGGCUGGUACAAACGGCUGCGAUACCGCAAGGUGGAGCGAAUCCGAUAAAGCCAGUCUCAGUUCGGAUUGGGGUCUGCAACUCGACCCCAUGAAGUCGGAGUUGCUAGUAAUCGUAGAUCAGCAACGCUACGGUGAAUACGUUCCCGGGGCUUGUACACACCGCCCGUCACAUCACGAAAGUCGGUAACACCCAAAGUCAGUGGCCCAACCGCAAGGAGGGAGCUGCCAAAGGUGGGAUCGGUGAUUGGGAUGAAGUCGUAACAAGGUA
rnacentral:rRNA from 1 species